GUCCGGCCCCCGCCGGGACCCCGCUGAGCGGCAGAAUGACUUGGGAUAUAAAUAAACUAAAUAUAUCCUAUUUGAAUAAUAAGUGGAAGACAGCGUGAUGAAUUGGACAAGAGAUGGGGAUUUUCCAUGUGGCCCCAGUCUGGUCUUGAACUACUGAGCUCAAGCAACUGCCCACCUUGGCCUCCUAAAGUGCUGGAAUUACAGGCAAGCUAUUAUUAUCUUAAACAUGGCCCAGUCUACCUUUCCAGCUGUAUCUCAUGUCACACAAGACCUCUUUUCUGAAAGCCACAUGUCCAAUGCUGUCUACCCAGCAACGCCAUAACCUCACAUGUCAUUUGGGAUCUCAACUUUGUGAUAUCCAAAACCGAGUGAAUAAUUUCUAUGCACCUACAGUCUGUGUCUCCUUAACUGUUUCCUAUCACAGCAGGUAAUACCAACACCUACUCACUUGCUCAGCUCAAAGACCUGGGAGUCAUCCAGAGACCUCUUUCUCCCUUACUCCUGAG